CACUUCCAUACUUCUGGUAAUAGACUUACAGCCAAUAGCAUUCCUACUUUAAAUUUAUUUGUUAAUGAUGGGAGUAUACCUGUUACUGGCCUGGAACAUCAAACUGUUCCUGAUGUUAUUUCUGUACAAAUACCUUCAUUCUCACGUGGAACAAAAAAAGUAUUUGCAAAGAAAGAAAUAAUGAAAUUGCCAAGCGAGUUAUCGAAGCUCAAAAUAAAGCUUCUAAAAGAA